CCUUAACCAAUAAGCCAUCUCUCCAGCCCAAUCAUCAAUGACUCUUUAGAGGACAAUACCCACAUAAUUUUUUCAAACUAAAUCUGAAGGAUCCGUGACGAAAAUCCUAGAAACUUGACAUUAACCACCUCACCGUACAGAAUAAGGAAGAAAAAUCUGAAAAGGAAUAAUAGUACUGUGGAUAUAGC